AAUGCAUUCUAAAGGUGUAGGGAAUUUAUUUGAAGUUGGUAUAAUAUAAUACAUCUAUUGGGAACUACCCGACACAGUUCUCCCGAGAGAGACAGGGUUGUUGGGCUGAAAAAGGCCUAUUAUGCCAGGGGAACUGCCCAGCCGGUAGACGUCUAAGCAGCCUACAUUAAGGCUCUUAUCAGGUUUUCAAAAUGAUUCAAAAUGUUUUUUUUUUUGUUUUUCUCUUCGAUUGCAGUGAGUGUGAUAUUAAUGUUAUCAUUGGCAUGGAGGAGAGUGACAUAUUCCAGGUAGUCAAAUUUAGUUUAUUUGCCUCUCUCUCUCUCUAACCCUUGCAGUUUGUGUCUACCUUUAGUUGUUUAGAUACUAAAAGUUAGCGAUAGGGGAUUAGGAAAUAUGACUUUUGAGCAGGUGAAUUUGAGAAGCGGAUUUGGUGACAGAAAUUUUAACCCUUUAGAUCACAACAUGGUUUACUACCCACUCUGACCGAGUUCUUUGGGCAUGAUUCCGUACAACAGUUCGGUGGAAGAACUUGAGGACAUCAUUAGGGAAACACACCGGGUGCUGUAGCUAAUCGUGUAGCCCUAAAAGCAUGUGUACAAGCUGAUAAUGAGGGAUGCGAUCUUGCUCACAAAGGUAAUGAAAUUAUCCUUAAGGAGACCAUAUCCACAAAUGAAGCUGUUAGUGUUUUUUUUCAUUUUGUCCAUUUUUGGUACAAUUUUUUGUUUUCACGAGCUUUUCGUCUUUCUCUAAAAUAGAUAGUUAGAUGCAAAUUUAAAUUCCUAAAUAACUCUAUUGUUUAUUCUUGUAUUUCAGGAUCAGUCGGGGGGUUAUUAUGCAACUGCACUAAGGCACCCUUUUUAUCUUUGACGAAAACCAACUAGAGAGUAGUUAUUGCUUAUGUGCUAAGUUCAAAAUUCUUUGAGAAAUUGAAGCAUUUGAAGCAUGCUUUAAUGUUGUAUGUUAAACCAGAGAUUUGGUAUGGGUUUAAUAAUCUCAGUUCUUAUUCUGAAACUUUUAUUUUUGGGUUUUGUAGGAUGAUGGACCAAGGCCCCCAGGCUUCCAGGAUUCCUUGUCAUCGCCUAAAGCAAGUCCGUCAUCCCCAAAAUCUUCUCCCCUAAAAAACUAUGGGUAGUAAUGGGCUACUCUCAUGAUUCCAACACCAAUUUCCAAGGAGAUAGAGAUGGAACAUUCUCCAUUGGGCAAACUGUGAGAAUCAGAGUUGGUCCUUUAAAGGAUUACUUGUGUCAGAUCAUUGCCAUCUACUGCAAUAUUGUUAUUAUUAUUCUUGGUUUUCUACUGAAGAUUGCUUUAAAGGUUACUUAUAUCGUUUAUGGGUAGGUUAAGUUUAUUUAUAAUAAUUUUCUUAAUGAUUUUGUAGUUAAAUGUGAGCAUCUUUCUGAGGUUCAUGUGAAGACUUGCAAAGUGUUUCAGUAGGGAUCUUGCUUCCAAUGCACAUAUUUAAAAUCAAAUUUGGUCGACAGGUACAACAGCAGGUAAACAUGCUGUAGGAUUUCAAUAGGAUUUCAGCUUGGACAACACCUUGCACCUCUCAUCUUGGGUUGCAUGCAUCCUUAUCUACAGCAGCAGCAGCAGCAUCAUCUCAAUACCACAAAUAAGAGGGCACAGCAGGAGCAGCAGGAAGCAUGUAGCUGCAGCCCCAAGAAAAUAUAUUAACAGCCUCCCUUAUUUGCUUCUCUUUUUCUUCUCCUUCUGCUUCUUGCAGCAGGAAGCAUGUGUCUGCAAGUAAUACUAUAUUUUGAAGCUUAUUGAGUCCAAACCAAGAACUCAUUGAAAAACCCCUCACCACAACAAACUCCUCCUUAACAUAUGUGGAUGCUGAGAGGCCAAUUAUACGAGGAUCAAUAACUUUAGAGGAAUCUAAACAAACCCCUCCAUAACAUUUGGUUCUAUUUGUUUCCCUAAACUGAACCUCAUACCGUGUUCCAUAAGUGCAUUUCAUUUAGGGAUGAUACCCCAUCCUCAACCCGUAGUCCACACCCAUAUUGCAUAUUCUUUGAAAACUAUUAUUUUCCUUAGGGCUAAGGAAAAUCUGACUAAGAUGUCUUUGUUGCUAUUAUCUUGAUGCAAUUUAAGAGUCUUUCUGUUGUUUUAAA